UACGGGGGGGGUAAGCGUUGUUCGGAAUUACUGGGCGUAAAGGGCUCGUAGGCGGCCAACUAAGUCAGACGUGAAAUCCCUCAGCUUAACUGGGGAACUGCGUCUGAUACUGGAUGGCUUGGAUUCGGGAGAGGAAUGCGGAAUUCCAGGUGUAGCGGUGAAAUGCGUAGAUAUCUGGAGGAACACCGGUGGCGAAGGCGGCAUCCUGGACCGAGAUUGACGCUGAUGCGCGAAAGCCAGGGGAGCAAACGGG
rnacentral:rRNA from 1 species